CUCUACCUCCUCUCCUUCUUCUACUAUCUCUAUGGGAUGAUCUACGUGUUGGUGAGCUCUUAGAGCGGUCAGAGGAAUGAUCUGCAUGUACGAGAUGAAACACUGUGGUUUUAGUGGACAAGCUGAAACCGGGACCUGCAGGAAGACUGAUUAUUUACCACAGAGUGAUACAAGAUGUCUGCCGUUUCAACAGGAUGGACUAACCUCCCCUACCCAGAGCAGACAUUACUAAACAAACAUUUCUCCCUUUUUAUUUUUAUCUUCAAAUUGGUUCACAGCUUUCCUCUCGUUCAUAGUUUUAGUCAGUCCACUGAAUGCUUUCUGAGAGGAAGACUAACAACGACAGACAUUUGGACCCUUUCUCCCCCCAUUAUGUGGUUAUCUGAUGCUUUAAAAUUUAUUUCAAAUAGUUUUUUUGACACCCCCCCUCCCUCCCCUACUUUUGACUGUUUACAAAUUAGAAGAGAUUCUGUUGUGAUCAACACCGUCAGUUAUAUUCAGAGCUGUGUUGCUUAUUAUCUAAUAAAUACUGUAUUAAGGAUGUGAAUUAUAUGCCAAGCUUGUGAACAUUUAUUUUGUGUUGGGGUUGUCAUAAUUACAUGCUUAUUCAAUUGUAGAAUAUUGAAAAUAAUUGUCUCGCCCAGACACAUUUGAAAACUAGAACUCCCCUAAAUAGGCGUAUAAAGGGUUGAAUGAGUCUUAUCUUGAUCACCUGAUGGAAAAUGUGUUGCACAGACAGGAACAAUCAGUAUGGUUGUCUUAUAUCAAACUAUUUGAUACAUUUAUUUUAGGUUUACUAUGCUUUCUGAAGACUUAUCAUUUCUACUUUUGUAGCCCCUUGUUAUACAUACUUGCUUUUAAGGGGCGUUUUUGUUUGUAGAUGCUAAUAAUAGGCUAUUUUGAUGUGACGCUACAGCAAUCCCGAGUAGACAUUUCUGAAAUGUGUGAUCAUAAAAACGUUCCUACUGAGGCAUAUGUGUAACCAUUGAACCUGCUAUGUACUCAACAACCAAUUCCAUCGUGUACCCGUUUAGAUUUGACUUUACUGUAUUGGUUUAAAAAAUGUGUAUUUCCAUUUUGGCUUACCAAAAAAAUAUCAAUUUUUAUUUAUUUGAGAAUGUGUCUUCUGCCAAGUUUCACACUCCUAUUACAUUGUGACAAUUUCAGGAUUUUUAAUCAGGCUGUCUUGAUUUGAUUUCCAUUUGCAGGAAUCUGACUACUUUCUAAAAAGAUAAAGAAUAUUUAUCCCAA